AGGAUUCCGCCGGGAGAGGUCCUCGAGGCGAGUGUGUCCCCGCGCGGCGGCUCUCCGACUCGGCUUUCGAGGCCGGGGCCGGGCUGAGGGUUGAGUGCGUCCGGCCCUACCCGUCCAGGUGGAUCGUCCAGUGCUGCCUGAGGCUUGAACCCAGCCUGAGAAACCACACCUGAAAAACCCUGCCUCUGUCUGCAGUAUCAGCUUGGAUUCCUCAGGUUAUUCAGGGAUGGAUUAUCUUCAGCAGUGUUAAAUAUAUUACCAUCAAUUUAGGAGAUGGCUUCUUUGCAAAGGAAAGGGCUGCAGGCAAGGAUUCUCAGCUCUGAAGAAGAGGAGAAACUGAAAAGAGAUCAAGCUUUGGUGUCUGAUUUUAAGCAGCAAAAACUGGAAAAAGAGGCUCAGAAGAACUGGGACCUUUUUUACAAAAGAAAUAGUACUAACUUCUUCAAAGAUAGACACUGGACCACCAGAGAGUUUGAAGAGCUCAGAUCAUGUAGAGAGUUUGAAGAUCAAAAAUUGACUAUACUUGAAGCUGGCUGCGGUGUCGGGAACUGUUUAUUCCCACUGUUAGAAGAUCUGAAUAUCUUUGCCUACGCCUGUGAUUUUUCUCCAAGAGCAGUUGAAUAUGUCAAGCAAAAUCCUUUAUAUGACACAGAAAGAUGCAAGGUGUUCCAGUGUGAUCUCACCAAAGAUGACCUUCUGGAACAUGUGCCCCCAGAGUCUGUGGAUGUUGUCAUGUUGGUGUUUGUACUCUCUGCCGUUCACCCUGAUAAGAUGCACCUUGUCUUACAAAAUAUUUACCAGGUAUUGAAACCAGGCAAAAGUGUCUUGUUUCGUGACUAUGGGCUGUAUGAUCAUGCCAUGCUUAGGUUUAAAGCUGGCAGCAAACUUGGAGAAAAUUUUUACGCUAGACAAGAUGGAACCAGAUCAUAUUUUUUUACUGAUGAAUUCCUGGCUCGGCUCUUUACGGACACAGGUUAUGAAGAAGUGGUGAAUGAGUAUGUGUUUCGUGAGACGGUGAACAAAAAAGAAGGCCUGUGUGUGCCAAGAGUGUUCCUUCAAAGCAAAUUCCGAAAGUGUCCUAAGAACCCAACUCUGAGUCACAAGUCCUGACCUUUCAUGAGGUUGACAUUUGUGCCUCCCCUUGAAGAGGGAAGUUUAAAGUCACUCUUUAUUUUGGAUAUUUUUAUAUUUUUUUAUAAUGAGGACAUGUAAUUUUUAUAUUAAAAAGUAGCAAGUGUCUGUGUGUGUAUUAUGGAAAUGCAAAUAAAAUUGCAAGGCCUGAAAAGUGAAGUUUUACGGUAUAAUGUAAUGUAGCCAUGCUGUCUGACUAAAAUUCCACGAAGGGGAAAGCAUAAGCACUAAAAGAGAUCCUUGCCAUCGGUAAAUGUGCCAUGACUCAGUAAAUGUACCUCCAGGCAGCAUGUCAGGCAAUCCUGUGGGAAAAUGAGGCCAAAUAGACUAAAAUAACACAUCCAAAUGUAUUUUUAGCCUGAAGGAUUGUUCUCUUUCUAGUGUCUCUCAUUUGCCCAUUUCUCUCUGCUUCCGUUCAUUUAUGUGCCUCUUCAAGACCAGUGUUUCACAAAUACAGCUUUUGCUAUGACUCAAGAGCCCACCAUGGCGCCCUGCCUAAUUCCUGAGACCCUCUCUAACUGAGCCAGGACCUGGCCACACUGCCUCAGUGUGUGGAGAGAGGGGAACGCCAUCACCUCUCCUCCCCAUCUACCCGAGGCAGUUUCUCCAGGAAUGCAGUGGAUGGACCAUCCCCAUCAAGGACAGUCCGGCCCCAUAAAGGAAGGGCCGCAGAGUUUUCACUUGGAAUAUUUAAGGUUGGCGUAAUGACAUACUACCCACCUUGGACAUUGACGUUGCGCAAGGUCUCUCCAGAAAAUAAUCUUCCAGCCCCUGCCAGGUGGAUACCAUCCUAGCUACCCGUGAUCUGGGAGCCAAGCCAGUGGGGAGAAUCUCAACAUUUGGCGGAGUUGGCAGGGGAAAGUGCGCUGCUUCCUUCAUCUGGGGAUAUCCUGCCUCAGAUGAGCUUGCCCUUUCUCAGCCCUGGAAGGAGUGGAAGAGAGAAGGCGGGGGCCUGCCUCCCGGGCCUGGGAAACGGGCUGGGCUUCCUGCCCCCGCACCGGUCAGGCCUGUGUUCCCGUGCCCUGUGGCUCACCUGCUCUGCCCUGCAUUGCCUUACUUUCUUGACUUAAGCAGGCCAGUCCCUCCUUCGGGAACCAUGAGCCUCUCCUAUCUUUCCAGUAAAUCCCCGUUUUGCUUUGAUACCCACAGUCCAUUUUCAUUGCUACUGAACUAUUCCUGAGCAACACCAUUACUCUGACCCAAGGGGGCUGACUGGCACAGGAAUCCAAAUUGGUGUUCAUCUGUGAUGACGCAUGUCACGUGUCAGCUGUGAUGACAGUGACCAAACAAAUCCAUUUUCUGGGCGUUGUAACGGGAUUCUGGGGCUGUGGGGUCAUCGACAGCUACCAGAUUCGCCAGCUCUUCAGGGUUGCUAAGGUUUCUGGGAUUCCUAAAGAGCUCUGGGAACAAUUGUGCAGGGUCAUUGCCCCUCAGAGGCUAUGUUCCUGGGACGACACCGUGGCAGCCUGGAAGCUCCCUCCUCCAGGCCCUUCUCUCUCCUCCUUGCAGGAAUGGUGCCACCCACACCUUCUAGCAAGUGAUAGUGAGAAGUUGGGAGAGAUAGUGCUACAUAAGCUUGUUUAUUCUUCGUGGAGCAGAUUGUAUGUAUUUAUUCACCUAACGAAUAAUUACUGAGCACCUAUUAUGGCCACUUUGUGCUGGGGACAGAUGGAUAUAAACCUCUUCGCCCUAUAUUCUAUCAGGGGAAGGGGAAAUGGGCCAGAACAGCCCUAAAAGAUAAAAUAAUAAGAUGAUUUUAGGUAGUCCUAAGUAACAAGCCUGUAGAGAAGCAGGGAGAAUGGGAGAGAGCCACUUGAGCUCAGAAAGUCAGGGAAGGGCACUGGAAAGGGAAAGAUCGGAGAGCUGGGCAGGAGGAAGAGCCAGCCUGUGGAGAAGAGGAGGAGCUUUCCCGACGGAGGGAAGGACCACUGGAAAGGCCCCGGAGGUGGGCAUGGAGUUAGCACACCUGAGGCACCACAGGAGCCCAGUGUGGCUGCACACAAUGAGGGGGGGCAUCAGAGGGGUCAAACAAGGGCUGUGCAUGCAAGGCUGGGACUAAGCACUCAGGGUUUGGGACUUUCAUUCGCAUGGAAAUGGGAAUGGGAAGUGUUAAGCAGGGAGGUUCCUACAAUCCGAUGGGUGAUUUGGAGCGGUCACUGCGGCAGUGGUAUGGAGAAUGGACCGUGCCGGGGCAAUGCUGGGAGCAAGAGACAGGCAGGGAGGCUGCUGCUGAGGCAAAGCUGACCUUAGUCAUCCGAAAUCGUUCCUCCAAGGCAUCUCCACAGUCACAACCUGCCACUGCAACCCAGAAACACGGCAAUUAUGUGCCAGAAAAAAACCCACAUGUAUUUAUGCUCAAACAAUAGUAAUUACAGGGCACCUCCUCCUCGUGCCUUCCCUGUGAACUCCUGACUGCUCUAACAAUGAACUCCUGCAAGCCAGCCAUCUCCUUAGCCCAGCUGCUCUGGCACGGUGGGAUGCUUGAAGGCCUCAAGGCUCUGCCACCCACUGCAUGCCCCCCACCCGCGUGCGGUGGACUUCCACCACCAACUUGUUAUUAGUGUCCAGGUGUAGGAGUCAGGUAGUUUUGGGGAUGUAAGUUUCACAUACUACAAAUUAUUGGAUUACUUUGACAUAAUUUAUUCGUCUCAAAUCCUCCAUCAUUCUGGAGGGAUGUAUUCACUCAUUCCUUUGUCCAUUUAUUCACUCGUUCUGUCAACAGACAUUGGUCGAAUCCCCAUGCUGGGUAGGAGCUAGAGAUACUGAGCCAGAGGCAGCAAUCCCACCCGCCAGUGGGGAGAGGUCAUCUGCACCACACCCACCAUGACUUAUUAUCAUUUU